rnacentral:tmRNA from 1 species
UUUCGGGGGCGAACUAGGAUCGACGAGGGCGUAAAGGAUGUUUCCGUCGCUCGGCAUGGUACCAUCGUUAUCGGGCCAUCUUUAUAGUUGCAAAUGACAACUAUGCGGAAGUAGCUGUCGCUGCGUAAGCAGUCACACGACUUCGUUUCAAGUCCACCGCCUUCGCCGGCGGUGGCGGGGUUCGGAAGGCACCUGGCAACAGAAGCCUUCCACU